UACGUAGGGGGCAAGCGUUGUCCGGAAUCAUUGGGCGUAAAGAGCGUGUAGGCGGUCCGGUAAGUCGGCUGUGAAAGUCCAGGGCUCAACCCUGGGAUGCCGGUCGAUACUGCCGGACUAGAGUUCGGAAGAGGCGAGUGGAAUUCCCGGUGUAGUGGUGAAAUGCGUAGAUAUCGGGAGGAACACCAGUGGCGAAGGCGGCUUCCUGGCCUGUUCUUGACGCUGAGGCGCGAAAGCUAGGGGAGCAAACGGG
rnacentral:rRNA from 1 species